ACAAGUGGUUACCCAUCAAGAAAUUUGACCACCAAAAUAAUGCCCCUUUCUCUUCAAAAUUUUCCACCAUCAAAAGGCCGCCCCUAAUAUUUAUUUGAUUUUAAGCACAUUCAUCUCCAGGAGAGGCACUCCCUACUCUCAAAUUUCAAUCAAGUUAAAUACUUAUUUUUCAAUAAUUCAAUCAAGCUAAAUGCAAAGCAAUAAUUCAAGUUUUCUUCACCAAACAAUUACUGAGUAUCUCACAGGUUCCUCAAACCCCAACGAAAAGUUACAGGAAUGAAGGGAUCCGUAGGGUUUUAGAUCGAUUGCUUUCUCAAUCUAUUUAAUGCGGUUAAAUUCUCGUGUGAAGGGCAGAUAUAAAAAUCCUUGUCAACAAGGCUGGAAUAACGGCUAUAAGUAAAACUUCUGGAAGUUUUAACUUAUUUUAUUGUCAUCUGGAGUCGUGAAAUGUUAAUGGCGUAAAUGUUUAACGAUCUGUGCAGGUGAGAAAAUGAAAUUUAAAAAUCUACCAAAAGGCUAUUGUUGUUGUAUUGGGCAAACAGUUGGGUGUGCUCCUGAAACGUGAGAGCAACAGAAAUGUGAAGUAUUAGUAUGAUUUUUCUUAAUCUUUGAAAAUCAUAAGUUUGUGUAACUUGCAAGGAUAAUUUAGUUUUUUUUUAUAUUAUGAUAGGUAUCUACUGAGAAAACGUGACUCUUGUUCAUGAAGGGGAUCAUAUCUUAUUGGCAUAUAUAUUUCCUCGAUUUGAUUGGCAUGCAUUUUUACAGUUGGUACUUGGUACUAAAUGGUAAUGUGUAACAACGUAAGAGUUUGAAUUGUUUGUCUAUGUUGAAUCUGCUAACCUUUUCUAAUAGCUAACGACAAACUGGAAACUCUAAUAUACGUUUUUUACCCUAGAGAAGAUAUGGUAGAUCAAGCUUACACAAAAUCUGGCUGUAUGAUGAUGCAAAUGGUGGUAGCUCAUGGUGGGCGUUGUGCUGAAUGAGUUGUAUUAAUAUUCUGAUUUUUUUUCGAUAGCGACCAACUUUAUAUCUUAUGUGUGUUGAUGUUGUAACUUGACUAUGUUAAGAUUUGUUAUGGAAGUGACUUUUGGAUUCUCAAA